rnacentral:rRNA from 1 species
CCUACGGGAGGCAGCAGUGAGGAAUAUUGGUCAAUGGACGAGAGUCUGAACCAGCCAAGUAGCGUGAAGGAUGACUGCCCUAUGGGUUGUAAACUUCUUUUAUAAAGGAAUAAAACGAGGCACGUGUGCCUUUUUGCAUGUACUUUAUGAAUAAGGAUCGGCUAACUCCGUGCCAGCAGCCGCGGUAAUACGGAGGAUCCGGGCGUUAUCCGGAUUUAUUGGGUUUAAAGGGAGCGUAGAUGGGUUUUUAAGUCAGUUGUGAAAGUUUGCGGCUCAACCGUAAAAUUGCAAUUGAUACUGGCAGUCUUGAGUACAGUUGAGGUAGGCGGAAUUCGUGGUGUAGCGGUGAAAUGCAUAGAUAUCACGAAGAACCCCGAUUGCGAAGGCAGCAUACUAAACUGUGACUGACAUUGAUGCUCGAAAGUGUGGGUAUCAAACAGGAUUAGAUACCCCGGUAGUC